GGGCUGAUUUUGAUUCGAUACUCUGAUCAAAAUCAGAUGAAAAAUAUACAAAAGAUAUCAAAUAAAAUCAAGGUUUAAUCACAUCAAAACUUUUGAUUCAAAAUUAGAUAAAAAAUCAAAAAAAAUUUAAAAUUAGACUAUGCGAUUAUGACAUACAAGCCUGGCUCUGAUACCAAUUAAAGUAAAAAUUCAUCCGAUUACAUCGAAUGCC
rnacentral:lncRNA from 1 species